rnacentral:misc_RNA from 1 species
CCACGGGGCAACGAAGACAGCCAGAGUAUCCGGUACUCUUCAGCGAGAUGUAAUAGCAACCGCAAGUUUUUGUGCAAAAUCUCAAUCAAAAUUCAAAACCAAUGUGAUAUGUGAGCGUACGAGGGGACCAUAUAGAGCUUACACGACAGUGAAGUAACAGAGAAUCCAAAAAUCUAUAUCCAAUGCUCAAAGCUAGCUCCUGUUCAUGGAGAGAAAGGGAAUGACCAUUCAUCAUAUAAUAAUAUCAUCAUCGUCAUCAUUAUCAUAAGCAUGAUCGGUCAGUGUAUAGUACCCAAAGGGAAUCUAAAGCACCAAAGACAAGAACAAAUCGAAGGAGGAGAGAGUAACAGAUCCUCUCACGUGCAUAGCCACCAGCUGCAGAAUCCCACUACCAACCUUGCUGUCCCCAUAUGUUCUUUUCUAUAGCUAAUUAAGCUGCAGCUAGCAGAAGAACCCACGUAUCUUUCUUGUUACUUUUCCAAAAAUCACUUAUGGGUAUCUUAUCUCUCUUGCUGAUGUUGCUGCUGCUGCCGAACUUGGUUUUUCUUCAUUGUUGGCAGCAGCUUACUUCAUCAACAGAUGGGUUUCUCUUCCAGGUCCAAUUAUUACGAGGUAGCAGAGCUAACAUGGGAGAAUGGUCAGCUAGCCAUGCAUGGGCUUGGUGGGCUUCUCCAUUCUGGGCAGGCGACAAAGGCCACACCCACAUGGGGUAGGACUAGUGAAACCCUAGAGUCAAUAGUCCAUCAAGCCACGUGCCACGAUUCACAACAAAAAAUAAACUCAAACCGGCAAGAGCCGGCAAAGAUAGCCUCUGCUGUGGAAUCAUCGGAUGGCAAACGGGCAGAAACGUCCUCCAGGCGCCAGGCACAGAUGGCCCCCCUAUUGAUGAAGAAACGUGCAAGAUCAGAGUCAAACCAAUGUGGAAGCAGUAGGGAUAAUGAGCAAGUGGACCGUAGUGCAUGUGCAAGUGCUAGUCCCACAUUUUGUAGGGAAAGUGACACUACCAUGAUGACUUAUGCUUCUCUAGAGUCCACUCCAAGCUUCAAGGCCAAAACCACUGAUAAUGAGGAUUCUGCUUCUCAUGGUGGAUCGGAAAACCCAGAUGAAGAUCGAGAGACCAAAACUGAAACAGUCAGAUCUCAUUCUAAUAGAAGAAGUCGGGCUGCUGCUAUUCACAAUCAGUCAGAGCGGAGACGAAGAGAUAGGAUCAACCAAAAGAUGAAAGCUCUCCAGAAGCUGGUUCCUAAUGCAAGUAAGACAGAUAAAGCAUCAAUGCUGGAUGAGGUGAUAGAAUAUUUGAAACAACUACAGGCACAAGUGCAAGUAAUGAGUGUGAGAAGCAUGCCCCAGAUGAUGAUGCCUUUAGGGAUGCAGCAACAUUUUCAUCAAAUGUCUCUACUAGCACGUAUGGGCAUGGGGGUUACUCCUCUAGGUAUGGGAAUGGGGAUGCUUCAUGACAUGAAUUCAAUUGGACAUAGUGCUGCUGUACCCCAUUCUCUUCCUCCGCUCCUCCACCCUGCACCACCUGCCGCUACAGCCACCACUACGUUUGUUCCGCCUCCUCCUCCUCCUCAUCCCUUUGUAGUUCCCUCAAUGAUCCCUGCAGCGAAUCCUGACCCUGCCACCAAUAGUUCAGUUGCUUUGCCUGAUCCAUAUUGCAGUUUUUUAGCACAAUCAAUGAAUAUGGAGCUUUACAACAAGAUGGCAGCACUGUACCGACAACAAGUGAAUCAGCGGAUCACACAAGCAGCAUCACAGCCCAACCAUGUCCAAGGUGAUUAACAAUUUUUAGAACAUCAAGAAAGAAUGAGGAAGAAGGAGCAUAUGUAUAAGCCAAUUGAAUAUAAAUUAAUAUGAACAAUUAUAUAUGUGUGAUUAAUAUAAUUGAUGAACUUGUAUAAUAGCACUCAUCUAUAUAUAUAUUUUUUUUGAUAAGCAGCAAAAUUU